UGCACCGUAAGCCCUAACAGC
rnacentral:siRNA from 1 species